rnacentral:rRNA from 5 species
UGGGGAAUUUUGCACAAUGGGCGCAAGCCUGAUGCAGCGACGCCGCGUGAGGGAUGAAGGCCUUCGGGUUGUAAACCUUUUUCGCUCAUGGUCAAGCCGCAGCUUUGGGUUGUGGUGAGGGUAGUGGGUAAAGAAGCGCCGGCUAACUACGUGCCAGCAGCCGCGGUAAUACGUAGGGCGCGAGCGUUGUCCGGAAUUAUUGGGCGUAAAGGGCUUGUAGGCGGUUGGCCGCGUCUGCCGUGAAAUCCUCUGGCUUAACUGGGGGCGUGCGGUGGGUACGGGUUGACUUGAGUGCGGUAGGGGAGACUGGAAUUCCUGGUGUAGCGGUGGAAUGCGCAGAUAUCAGGAGGAACACCGGUGGCGAAGGCGGGUCUCUGGGCCGUUACUGACGCUGAGGAGCGAAAGCGUGGGGAGCGAACAGG